ACACCUGGAACCAACCCUGUGACACUGUGGGGCCUUACAGGAACAGAGGGCAAUUACCACACUCUGAAGGCACAUGGAACCAAGGGGACCCCAUUACACUGCUUUUGUGGCCUUUAUGGAAACAAGUAAUCCUUGUAAAACUGAGGGGCCUUGUGCACAAUGGCCAUUGUGACUCUGUGCGGGCACAUGGAACCAAGGGGCCAUUGUGACACUGCAGGAUGUCAUGAAACAAAGAGGCUCUCUGGGGCUUCUUGGUGCCCAGGGGCCACUGUGACACCCUAAGGCCAUGUUGAACCCAGUGGCCACUGGCCUUUGUAACCAAAACAUGUGAAGGGUUUGGAGCCCCUGUGACACCACGAGGCCUCAUGGAACCAAGUGGACACAGUGAUACUGUGGGCCCUCAUCGUGAGCGAUCUAUUGUGAUAGUUGUGUGCAUCUGCAGGGAGGCAAACCAGGGGAGCCUAAGCCUGUUGAUCCCAAAAAAACCUAUCUUCACAUAAGCAUGUCUCUGAGAGCAGUGCUCUAUAUUCCCUCUACUCUCCAGGGCUCUUCCAUCUUUUGAUGCCGAUUAAUCUGGUAGCUGACACCACUGGGCAGGGCCCCCAUGGCCCCAGUCUGACCCCAGACUGGGCCCAACUCUCACUCAUUCUCACCAAAAGGUCUCACCAGCAGCAGGCACUUGGUCCUCACAGCACACAAACACACACACACAGUGAAAAUGGGAAUACACAGAGAGCAAACAUUGAAGAAGAUUGAGCAGGACAGGGCAGACCCAGGUGAUCAGGUACCAGGAUCAGCCAAGAAAGUCCACUGAGCAGUCCCUUUUCACCAUACAGUCAGAGAGAAUGGAUUGAAAGAUCUCUGCUCUCAUGUGGCCCCCCUGCAAUGAGCAGGCACAUCUUUCACCAGAUCAGGUUACUCAGAGCCCUGUCCCACCUGACCUUCACUGUUUCUGGGAAUGGGACAUGCACACCACCCUGGGAACUUGUUAACACAGCAAUUAUCAAUCACACUUGUUACCACAGCAACUAUCAACUCAGGACCCCUUCCUAAGUGUGGUGCCACAGCAAGCAAGGCUUGAACCAGUUGUGAUGCUCAGUUGCCAUGGAAACCAGCACCAGGAAACCCCCCCCCCUCCCAUUCCUAUGGGCUUGUGCCAUGGAAUUCUGGACCUGUCAUGUUACCAUGACAAACAUCAGCCAAAUGCACUGCUGAAGUCCAAUGUCAUGGCAACCAGACAGGGAAAUGCUAUGCCAGGGACUAUUUCCAUGUUAACCAGCACUUGGGGAUGGCUGUCAUGGCAAUUGUCAUGGAUACGUUGCCAGGGGCUGCUGCCCUGGACAUUUCACUGAGACCUGAUGCUGUGGUUGGCUGCCACCACAACCAUUUUAGGUCCUGUUGCCAAGGUUGGUUGCCAUGACAACCAUCGGGGCAGUUGCUAUGGUAGUUGCCAUGACAACCUACCCAGAGACCACCCCCAUUGCUGCAAUUUCCAUGGCAAUCAUCAAUAAACUAAUUGCCAGGGACUUGCAUGAAUCAAUGCUAUUGAAAGGUCAGCCUUCACAAGGCACCAGUUUUUUGGCGACCCCGAAGAUCACAAAGCACCUGGGAAACCCCUGGACCAGAGCCAGAGGCACAUCCAGCUUCAGCCCUCAUCCCCCUCGCUCCCGUGGCACUCCCAGGGGGCCCAGCUGCAGUCCAGAGGGUAUUGGAGCCCCAGAAUCUCUGGAGCUGACAGACACGUGUGAGCAGACAGAGGGGUGUUCUCCCCCAUGGGGUGCUCCAGCAAACUGGGCAUGAGGCCAGAGAAAGAGGCAGAGAGAUGUAACUGUGCACUGUUGCCAUGGCAGCAAGUGGGGGUACCCUCAGUCCAUUAAUAAAAUCAGGCACUGAAACGGGCAGAUAUGAUUUUACGCCCUUUCCUGCUGUUUGCACUUCCUGCAAGCUUUCUGGAGUGUUGCUGGCAAUAUUUUUGUACUUUUUCAGGUGAUUUAGACAACACCUCACAAGACACACUCACAGUAUCAGGAGAAUUAUGGGAUAUACCAUGGAGUCAUGUCCCUAGGAAAUACCAAGGUUCUAAGUGAUUAGUUACUGUUUGAGUCUAGAAGUGGGCAGUACAAACUUCAAUUUUUCUUUCAAGUGCUCAUGGGGAAAGCACAGCAUAUUCUUCCAGAUCUUUGCACAAUAUUUGUUAGCUACAUACAAUAACAAAUCUCAUUUACAUCACUGCUCAACAGCUCAACAUAAGGAACCCAAACUACUGGCCUAUCCAUAAGACUACACAAAAAGAAUGCAACAAAUAUGUUUUGCUUCCCACUUCAGCUGAAUUUGGGAUUUUUGAUUUUUCAUUUUAUUUUAAGACGUACUUGUAGUUUUCUUGUUAUGUUAGGCUCUGAAGUAGGGUUGUGAAACCAAGAUUAAUCAAGGAUUAACACAGAAAUAGAUGUUCUGAUCUAUCCUUACACUUCUGCUGGUCCCUAGGAAGGCUGGAGGGUGAUUUCUGUCUGUGUUCAAAUAUUUAAACCAACAACAUCUAGUGCCACACUUCGUAUUUCAGACAAACAAUUUAAUUGCUCUUAACAUUGUUUUCACAGUCUUUUAACAUGCACAUUUUACUCCUUAUGAAGCUGAAAUCUUUUUAAAUACAAGUAAUUCUACUGAAAGUUUAGAAGUUUCAAAACCGUUUUAACAUACUGAAAACAGAACAGUCUAAAAAGACAGGUCUAACAGCCAUUAAAAUGCAAGAAAAAGCAAGAG